rnacentral:rRNA from 1 species
AUGUACGGAGAUGCUGGGUGCCCAUCUAUUUUGCAAAGGACAAUUUCUUCCAGUUCUAAUGUGCGCACGAGUGGGGGGCGUCAGGGUUCAUUGUCAGCUAGCUGUCUGAAUCUUCGUGCUUCGGAUUUGUCUCAUGAUCUGCUGCACGUACGACACGUACGACAAGGGGACAACAGAAUUCUACUGAAUUGUGGCGGCGCCAUCGAGAGAUUCAUGAAUGAAAUGUCCUGUGUUGGGUUCUUCAGAUUAUGCCUGAACCAGCAGGAGCCUCCGAAGCAGCAAGAGAGUAAUGGAUGGGGAAACUGGCAGAUCCGUUUGUGUGGACGACAGCUCGAUGGUGGCAACUCGGCUAGGUUUGCCAUGAGAAGGCCAGACUACGCGAGAGAUUUGGCGUGUGUAGUUUAUGUUGUUGGUAAUUACGGUGGAGUGUGGUUAGAUUAUCAGCUUUUUUAG